rnacentral:rRNA from 1 species
GACGAACGCUGGCGGCGUGCUUAACACAUGCAAGUCGAGCGGUAAGGCCCUUUCGGGGGUACACGAGCGGCGAACGGGUGAGUAACACGUGGGUGACCUGCCCUCAGCUCUGGGAUAAGCCUGGGAAACCGGGUCUAAUACUGGAUAUGACUCCAUGACGCAUGUUGUGGGGUGGAAAGCCUUGUGCGGCUGAGGAUGGGCCCGCGGCCUAUCAGCUUGUUGGUGGGGUGANGGCCUACCAAGGCGACGACGGGUAGCCGGCCUGAGAGGGCGACCGGCCACACUGGGACUGAGACACGGCCCAGACUCCUACGGGAGGCAGCAGUGGGGAAUCUUGCGCAAUGGGCGAAAGCCUGACGCAGCGACGCCGCGUGUGUGAAGAAGGCCUGGUGUAAG